UCGGCUAUUUCUGUUUUUGCUGUUCCUUGGAAAUCCUUCAUUCACUCGCUGAUCCAUUCCACUUGACGGGGAUUUAUCCAGGUUUUGCUUUGUGCCAAGUCUGUGUUAAGGGCCAAGACUGCAAAAGUCAGUGACCUGCCCUCAAGGCUUUUUUGCUUCUGGGGUAGAAACCAAAGGUUUUUAGAUAAACAACUUUCCAGAAGGUAACUUAUUAAAUCCUGAAAUGAGUGACUGUCGGGACUGUCCUUUAGAACAUUCAAGAGUGACAUUCAAGGAGUUCCCAUCGUGGCUCAGUGGUUAAUGAAUCCGACUAGGAACCAUGAGGUUGUGGGUUCGAUCCCUGGCCUCGCUCGGUGGGUUGGGGAUCUGGCGUUGCCGUGAGCUGUGGUGUAGGUUGCAGAUGCAGCUCGGAUCCUGCAUUGCUGUGGCCCUGGUGUAGGCCGGGGGCUACAGCUCCGAUUAGACCCCUAGCCUGGGAACCUAGAAAAAGACCCCCCCCCAAAAAAAAAGAAAGAGUGACAUUCAAGAUCCUAGAACAGGAAGAGAUCUUAGAGUUGGUCUAAGGGUCUUCCUGCUCUUCUCCAGACAGAUGAGAGCCUGAAACCCUAAAAGUAACCUCAGGGUCACACACAUAUGACCUUCGAGGCAGGGUCUAGAAGCCAGAGCUAGGCUCUUUCCAUCAUAUCCUUUGGCCUUUUCUUUCCUGUAAUUUUUUUUUUAAUAGUUAUUUCCCCAAUACAAUUUUUUUUUUCUACUGUACAGCAUGGUGACCCAGUUACACAUACAUGUACACAUUGUAUUUUCACACAUUAUCAUGCUCUGUCAUAAGUGACUAGACAUAAUUCCCAGGGCUACACAGUAGGAUCUCAUUGCUAAUCCAUUCCAAAGGCAAAGUUUGCAUCUGUUAACCCCAAGCUCCCCAACCACCCCACUCCCUUCCCCUCCCCCUUGGCAAGCCACAAGCCUCUUCUCCAAGUCCAUGAUUUUCUUUUCUGUAUCUUUCUUGUAAUUUUAAGUAGGGAACACUUACGAUGUGAGUCCUGUCGAAAUCAUGGGAACAGGAGCAGCAGACCAUCUCAUUUAGCCUCAUUGACUGGGUGGAAGUUGUUUGUCCUACCCUGUAGAUGAAUAUGCUGAGGCUAGGAGAGGUGAUGACGUUUACCCAGCAUUCAGAGAGCCGGGGGUGGGAGUUCCUGUUGUGGCUCAGCAGAAAUGAAUCUGACUAGUAUCCAUGAGGACACAGGUUCGAUCCCUGGCCUCACUCAGUGGGUUAAGGAUCUGACAUUGCCGUGAGCUGUGGUGUAGGCCCAUGGCUAUGGCUCUCAUUCGACCCCUAGCCUGGGAAACUCCAUGUGCCAUGGGUGUGGCCCUAAAAAGACAAAAAGCAAAAAAACAAACAGCCGUGGUGGAAUCAGCAUUGUAACUUGGGUCAGUCUCACAAAGCUGAUACUAACUUCCCGUAUGUCCUAGGCCCGCUAUAGAAUUCCAGAUUUCUCUACUCAGGAGGCCCUUAGCAUCAGAUUCCUCUAGACUUACUGAUGGAGACUUUUUAUUUUUAAUCCUCAUGGGAAAUGCAUUUCCUACUAGGUACUCAUGUUACCUAGUUCAUUUGUAACCUGAUGGGUUUUUUUUUUAACUCUUUCCUGUUAGUGUCUAGUGAGAUUUUUGCUCCAGGAAGGAUUCCUUGUGUUCAGUGGAUAUGUCUGACUAUCUUAACUCAAAGUACUGAAUUUUCAGCCUUAGCUGUAAUUGCGUAAUUUUUUUCCACUCCCUGUUGUGGAGAGAUAUUAAAAAACUAUUGGAGACACAUGAGCUGGUGGUUGGCUGCGAUUCCUUUGUAACCAGAGCUGCCACGGCAUCACUGUUUGCUUGGUUCUUUAAUGCGUGCUACCUGCCCCCCCUACCCCCGCCGUCUUAGCACCGUCUCGGCUUCAUGAACAUGUUACCAGCUGGCAGGGGGUGGUGAGGAGGGGGGUGUGUGAGGGCUUGUUUAACAGUGUCUUCCUCCUUGUAGUAAAUGCAACCAAGCCUGAAAUUUUUCUGUUCCUCUUGUCUGAUUUCUUCUGAUGAAGAGACUAUUUACAAAGCAAUUGACUCUGUAUUUGACUCUGGAUUUUUUUGUUCUAAAGUCAGGAUCUUCAUACCUUGGAGUUCCCAUCAUGAUGUUGUGGGUUAAGAAUCCGACUGCAAGUGGCUUGGGUUGCUGCAGAGGUGUGGGUUCCAUCCUCAGCUCAGCCCAGUGGGUUAAAGGAUCCAGCAGUGCCACAGCUGUGGCUUGAUUUCAAUCCCCGGUCAGGGAACUUACAUAUGCCACAGAUAUGGCCAUAAAAAAAGACAAAAGAAUGGUACAAACGCUUUAUACAUUGGAAAAUGGGCUGGAUGUUACCCAGCUUGCAGGGUUGUGAGGCUUACCUUGGACAAGUUACUGACUCUAAGCCCCAGUUCCUUGUCUACCAAAUAGGGGUAAUAAUGGUAGGACUAUGUCAUAGACUUGUUGUGAGGCUUCAGUGGGAUAAUGCAUGUAGAGUGCAGGGCAUACAAGUGCUCAAUAAAUCUUAGACGGUGUUAUCAUUACUGUCCAGGACUUUUCAGUUGGCUAAACCAGGCACAGCCCACACUCACAUCUCUUCAUGGAAUAAAGCUCCCCAAACCUCUUCGUCUGCCUCUUUCUGUCCUUUCUUAUUCCCUGUCCAGGUCCAAAGGUGUUGUGCCCCUUCAGAGGGAAACAAACUUUCUUAGUCCUUUGUUGUCCUGGUCCUUCCCCAGUCAAGUCCUGUCUCCCCUGCAAAACCAUCAUCUGGGAGUUCCCAUCAUGGCGCAGUGGUUAACGAAUCCAACUAGGAACCAUGAGGUUGCAGGUUCGGUCCCUGCCCUUGCUCAGUGGGUUAAUGAUCCGGCGUUGCCGUGAGCUGUGGUGUAGGUUGCAGACGCGGCUCGGAUCCUGCGUUGCUGUGGCUCUGGCGUAGGCCGGUGGCUACAGCUCCGAUUCGACCCCUAGCCUGGGAACCUCCAUAUGCCGAGGGAGUGGCCCAAAGAAAUAGCAAAAAGACAAAAAAACAAACAAACAAAAUAAACCCAUCAUCUGGCUCCUCCUUAUCUCCUACUCUCUCAUUUCUGCCAGCAUCUUUUCCUGUGCUCUUUCUGGCACUUGAGAUGCCCUUCCUCCUUCACUUCCCCAAUCACAAAGCCAACUCUUCCUUUAAGGCCUGGCUUUUCUGUGGAACCUUGCCUUGGUUAAGAUACGCUUUUGCUGCAUUCAGCAAAACCCAAAAAAGUGGCUUAAGCAAGAGUGAGGUUUAUUUAUUUCUCAUAUAAAAGAAUUCUAGAGAUAAGCAGUUCAGAGAGAGUAUGGUGACUCAGUGAUCCUCAGGAAUUUAGGCUUCUGUUUGCUUUUCUGUCUCAAGGUUGCCUUGUGGUCCAAAAUAGCUGCUGGAACUCCAGCCAUCACAUUCAUGUUUCAGACAAGAAUUAGAAGAAAGGGAGAAAGGACUUAAGAGUGAGUAGCAGCUGUUGGUCUGGCUUUAAAGGCACUUUCCUAGAAGCCUCUCUUGACAAUUUCUAUUCAGAUCUCGUUAGCCAUUUCUGGCUACAGGGGAGGCUGGGGAAUGUAGUGUUUUAUCUGGGCAUAUGGCCACCUCAAGUAAAACAGGGGCUCUGUUACAAAGAAAAAUGGAAGAAUUGAUAUUGAGUAGGCAACUAGCAGCCUCUGGCACAAGCCUUUUCCAACUACUCGAACCCAUCUUUCGGUUCUUCGCAUGAGCCCUACACUCACAAUUGUCGUAUUAUUGUGCCAUCUAUUAAUUCAUUGACCCAGUGAACAAAUAACAAGUGAGCCACUGCUCUGUGCAAGGCACGAUGCCUUUUAUAUGUUCGCUGUCAAGUGUCACUCUCAAACUAAGAGGUUAGCUGGCUCUUUGAGAGAAGGGAUCAUGGCUUAUGCUGCUUUUUCUCCCUCACAAUAACACCUUUCACAAAGCUGGGCACGUGGCAAGUGCUGGAUAAGUACCUCAUUGAUCUUCUAAUAGUCACAGAUGAGACGCUCAGUGAAAACUUCAAUUCCUUGACAUGGGACUGUGCCCAGCCGUUACUGGUUGCGUAAGGUUUGUUUGGGGUUCAUUCUGGUUUGAAGGUAGAGCCUAGGUUCUCUUGCUGCAUCAGUGCUGUGUUGCUGCCACACAGACCUGUUCCGGUAUUGGGGUGGCUCUGUCUGUUUUGGAAACUGGAUUCUGUUGGGAUACUCAACUAGAAUUAUAAGCAGACCUGUCUGUGCCCACCUGACUGUCUUCACCACCACUCUGCCCGUGUAGCUGUUUUUACUCAGCUCGAAUCUCCCUUGUGAUUUCUGCACUGCGGAGCUGCCAGGUGGAUCUGCAGUCUUUGCGCAGCGAGCGUCAGCCGCGGUUCACGUUCCUGCCUUCCCAUCUGAUCCCUGCUCCUGUCUGCCCGAGACAAGACUGUCUGAAGGGAGGUUGCCUCGAGCUUAUGUCACAUCUUGCAGCUGCUGAGAAAAUGAUUGUUUUAACAUUGUUAUUGGCACUUGAAGGAAAGGAACUAGAAAAUAUUUCUCCUCUACUCCCUGUAAGGCAGUGUGUUACGUGCUUCACCUGCGUGAUCGCAUUUCAUAUGCAGAACCGUCUACUCCUCCGUUCUCACUGUGAAGAAAGUAAUACUCGGCUCGUUUUGCAGAUGACGAAGCCGAGGCUCUGACCUGUGAACUAACAAGCCCAAGUGCACUUAGAGCGAAGCGGUGGAAUUAUUUUUUUCUCUAAGAUACUAAUUAAUUAUGUGGAGAGAUAAUUCACAUAGUAUACAAUUUACCUGCUUAAAGUGAGCAUGCAUGGUUUUUAGUAUAUUCGUAAAGUUGUGUAACCAUUGUCGCUCUAAUUCCAGACCGUUUUCAUCAGGUCAGGUGGGACUGUUUUGAGUCUAGGCUUCUCCUAUGAUUCCAUUUCUUUUUCUAAUUUGCCACAUAGUGAUUUAAAUUAACUAGACCCGAUUUAGGGGAACAUCAGGGCUUGUGUGUGUGAAAUAUGUGCAUAAAAGGACCAUCGCCUCAUAAGCUGUUUUCUUCCCGUUACUGCAGCAGUCCUGGCACGCUUUGAAUUGCUGCAGAAUACGCUGAAAUUCCUCUGGGCCCCCCAUCCUACCUUGUUUGUGUUUCCUGGACUUAGGACAGGGGACAGAAUAUUCCAAGCUUGAGGUUCCAGAAACAGCCCUGGGGUUGUAAUUGACAUCGUGAGAGGCACCCUUAUUCUGACCCGUGUCUUACUUGUCCCUGGAGCCCCAGAAUGUCAUGGUGCCUGGCAUAUAGGAAGUGCUUAAUAAAUGUUCAUGAAUAUCCAGAGGGUCAUUCCAUUAGCUCUAAUCUAAAUCACUGCCAUAACUGAUUCUUCUGCCUUUAGCCUUUCUCCUCCAGCCCCAGGUCUCUCCCACGUGAAAGACAAAGUGGUUGCUCUGGCCUAAAUCUACAGAGUUUAGACUGAAGUGAUCCUACUGGCUGUCCGUCCCUUUAAAAGGCUUUCCCCCAAGCCCUACCUAGCAACUGCUGCUUUCACGCUAUUGGCCGACACUGGGUGCAGGCCUGUGAGUGGCAAGGAGGGCUGGGGAAUCAGGAGUUGUCACUCUUCCGCCUCUGUAGUAAAGCGUGUUAAGGGAGAAGGGGACUCUGAAUAGCUUGGGGAAAACCAGCACAGCGCUUGCUCGCUCUGCAGUCCUUCCCUGAACCUGCACGUUCGUGUCAGUGAUUACAAAAUGGUUUGAUCUCUGUUUCCCCUAUUGGAUUCCAAACCCUUAAAUUGUGUAUGUUAGAAGGGGACGAUUUAAUUUUAGCAUCCCUAUCCCUAAUACAAUGCCAGCAUAUUGUAUUUAUUGAAUAACAAAAGAAAGAUGGUACAUUUUCAAGUAAGAACUUUGUGGGAUUUGGAAUUCUUGGCCGGACAAUUAGGGUCUUUAAGCAUUUAAAACCUUUUUUCAUUUCCUCUUCUUUAUCUCUUCUUCCUUUAUUUUAUUUUAUUUUAUUUUAUUUUAUUUUAUUUUAUUUUUUAUCUUUUUGUCUUUUCUAGGGCUGCACCUGAGGCAUAUGGAGGUUCCCAAGCUACGUGUCCAAUUGGA
rnacentral:lncRNA from 1 species